rnacentral:lncRNA from 1 species
AGACAAUCAACCUCCCUUUGAGUCAGGGCAUGGACAGCAAGGACCCGGAUGAAGCGAGCACUACCUCCCAUGUCAGCUGUUGUCAACUUGGAGAAUUCUGUGGUUGAAAUGGAGACCCUUCAAGCUCUCUAUGAGACGAUAAACCAGCGAUCUCCACUGAGCUCCUUGGAAGAUGGAAGUUAAAAUGAUUAACACUGCUGCAUUGGAAAUUAAUGACAUGAGAUUGUUCUUACACGUUUUUCACCGUAUUUUACAUAUGAGAUUUCAGUUUGAUUUGUGAUAUCCAAAAAGUGGACUUACUGGAGAACACUUAACAUUUUUGUGUCCACUAUUGGCUUGUAGAGCUUAUGGCUCUUUACUGUUGCAGGGAGGGUCUCUGAGCACUUCUCUCUACCAUUUGUUUUUAGUUUUGCAUGGUCUGGCCAUAUAUACUUUCGUUGGGCAGCUAAAGUAUGCAUAAAAUUUUGUGAGAAUUAUUUUAUAAUUAAAUUAUUAAGAACUUAAUUAAAUAUAACUAAAAUUAUUAUAUAAGAAUUCAAUGCUAACAUUAGGUGAAAUAAGAGUUUAACACAGAAAAUAAGGUACUUUAAGUCCCCUCUCCUAAAAAGGGGGGGUAAAUCACAAAGGCUUUGGUGUUUUCAGAGAAGAUAUGGCAUCCAUUUGUAGCUAGGAGCAUAAACAUUGCUUGAAUGUGUGAAAAUUAGUAAAAGGAAACCUCAUUUAAAUGGAAGUGGGAGGCAAGAAAGGGGGAGCCCUCCCACACUACCACUCACUGUCAGUUACAGACCCCAACAGGAAGAAUCCUCAGCUAUGGAUCGCAACAGGAAGAAACACACAUUGCAAGUAGACACUACUUUAUACUCCAGCAGGAGGAAGGAAGAUUUCCUUCCUUGCCCAGCAACUCAGCCAAGAAGAAAUCGUCACCACGCUGUACUCCUGCUUUCCUGCAGUGGACUUUCAUUCAAAAAAACCCCCUCCUUUUUUUCUAUAAAGUAACGUU